rnacentral:rRNA from 1 species
ACGAACGCUGGCGGCGUGCCUAAUACAUGCCAGUUGAGCGCUGAAGGUUGGUACUUGUACCAACUGGAUGAGCAGCGAACGGGUGAGUAACGCGUGGGGAAUCUGCCUUUGAGCGGGGGACAACAUUUGGAAACGAAUGCUAAUACCGCAUAAAAACUUUAAACACAAGUUUUAAGUUUGAAAGAUGCAAUUGCAUCACUCAAAGAUGAUCCCGCGUUGUAUUAGCUAGUUGGUGAGGUAAAGGCUCACCAAGGCGAUGAUACAUAGCCGACCUGAGAGGGUGAUCGGCCACAUUGGGACUGAGACACGGCCCAAACGCCUACGGGAGGCAGCAGUAGGGAAUCUUCGGCAAUGGACGAAAGUCUGACCGAGCAACGCCGCGUGAGUGAAGAAGGUUUUCGGAUCGUAAAACUCUGUUGGUAGAGAAGAACGUUGGUGAGAGUGGAAAGCUCAUCAAGUGACGGUAACUACCCAGAAAGGGACGGCUAACUACGUG